ACGAACGCUGGCGGCGUGCUUAACACAUGCAAGUCGAGCGGUAAGGCCCUUUCGGGGGUACGACGAGCGGCGAACGGGUGAGUAACACGUGGGUGACCUGCCCUCAGCUCUGGGAUAAGCCUGGGAAACCGGGUCUAAUACUGGAUAUGACUCCAUGACGCAUGUUGUGGGGUGGAAAGCCUUGUGCGGCUGAGGAUGGGCCCGCGGCCUAUCAGCUUGUUGGUGGGGUGAUGGCCUACCGAGGCGACGACGGGUAGCCGGCCUGAGAGGGCGACCGGCCACACUGGGACUGAGACACGGCCCAGACUCCUACGGGAGGCAGCAGUGGGGAAUCUUGCGCAAUGGGCGAAAGCCUGACGCAGCGACGCCGCGUGA
rnacentral:rRNA from 1 species